ACCUUAGAGACCAACUAAGUUUGUUCUUGGUAUAAGCUUUCGUGUGCUUUCUGAAGAAGUGUGCAUGCACACAAAAGCUUAUACCAAGAACAAACUUAGUUGGUCUCUAAGGU